UCGACUCUGGGAUAAGCCUGGGAAAACUGGGUUCUAAUACCGGAUACGAACCAAUCUCCGCAUGGGGUGUUCGGUGGAAAGCGUUAUGGAGUGGUUUUUAGAUGGGCUCACGGCCUAUCAGCUUGUUGGUGAGGUAAUGGCUUACCAAGGCGACGACGGGUAGCCGGCCUGAGAGGGUGACCGGCCACACUGGGACUGAGACACGGCCCAGACUCCUACGGGAGGCAGCAGUGGGGAAUAUUGCACAAUGGGCGCAAGCCUGAUGCAGCGACGCCGCGUGAGGGAUGACGGCCUUCGGGUUUGUAAACCUCUGUUAGCAUCGAAGAAGCGAAAGUGACGGUAGGUGCAGAGAAAGCGCCCGCUAACUACGUGCCAGCAGCCGCGGUAAUACGUAGGGCGCGAGCGUUGUCCGGAAUUAUUGGGCGUAAAGAGCUUGUAGGCGGUUGGUCGCGUCUGCUGUGAAAGGCUGGGGCUUAACCCUGGUUUUGCAGUGGGUACGGGCUAACUAGAGUGCAGUAGGGGAGACUGGAAUUCCUGGUGUAGCGGUGGAAUGCGCAGAUAUCAGGAGGAACACCGAUGGCGAAGGCAGGUCUCUGGGCUGUAACUGACGCUGAGAAGCGAAAGCAUGGGGAGCGAACAGGAUUAGAUACCCUGGUAGUCCAUGCCGUAAACGUUGGGCACUAGGUGUGGGGGACAUUCCACGUUUUCCGCGCCGUAGCUAACGCAUUAAGUGCCCCGCCUGGGGAGUACGGCCGCAAGGCUAAAACUCAAAGAAAUUGACGGGGGCCCGCACAAGCGGCGGAGCAUGCGGAUUAAUUCGAUGCAACGCGAAGAACCUUACCAAGGCUUGACAUAUACUGGACUGCGUCAGAGAUGGCGUUUCCCUUCGGGGCUGGUAUACAGGUGGUGCAUGGUUGUCGUCAGCUCGUGUCGUGAGAUGUUGGGUUAAGUCCCGCAACGAGCGCAACCCUCGUUCUAUGUUGCCAGCACGUGAUGGUGGGGACUCAUAGGAGACUGCCGGGGUCAACUCGGAGGAAGGUGGGGAUGACGUCAAAUCAUCAUGCCCCUUAUGUCUUGGGCUUCACGUAUGCUACAAUGGCCGGUACAGAGGGUUGCGAUACUGUGAGGUGGAGCUAAUCCCUAAAAGCCGGUCUCAGUUCGGAUUGGGGUCUGCAACUCGACCCCAUGAAGUCGGAGUCGCUAGUAAUCGCAGAUCAGCAACGCUGCGGUGAAUACGUUCCCGGGCCUUGUACACACCGCCCGUC
rnacentral:rRNA from 1 species